rfam:Gossypium hirsutum cultivar TM-1 chromosome 2, whole genome shotgun sequence
AAUCAAUGUAUCAGACAUUUUAGAAUUAAUUCUUUAAAUCGCUCCCAAGUUUCAUAUAGCAUUUCAUCCUUCAAUUGUUGAAAAGAUGUGACGUCAUUUCUAAGCUU